UUGACUGAUCUAUAGGGAUUCCUUUUACAUUGGAUGAUAUACAAUUUUGUACAGUUUGA
rnacentral:tRNA from 1 species